GCCUGGGUGGCUCAGUUGGUUAAGCAUCUGACUUUGGCUCAGGUCAUGAUCUCACGGUUUGUGAGUUCAAGCCCUGCUUUAGGUG
rnacentral:tRNA from 1 species